GCGGUAACAGAAAGUAGCUUGCUACUUUGCUGACGAGCGGCGGACGGGUGAGUAAUGCUUGGGAACAUGCCUUGAGGUGGGGGACAACAGUUGGAAACGACUGCUAAUACCGCAUAAUGUCUACGGACCAAAGGGGGCUUCGGCUCUCGCCUUUAGAUUGGCCCAAGUGGGAUUAGCUAGUUGGUGAGGUAAUGGCUCACCAAGGCGACGAUCCCUAGCUGGUUUGAGAGGAUGAUCAGCCACACUGGGACUGAGACACGGCCCAGACUCCUACGGGAGGCAGCAGUGGGGAAUAUUGCACAAUGGGCGCAAGCCUGAUGCAGCCAUGCCGCGUGUGUGAAGAAGGCCUUCGGGUUGUAAAGCACUUUCAGUCAGGAGGAAAGAUUAGUAGUUAAUACCUGCUAGUUGUGACGUUACUGACAGAAGAAGCACCGGCUAACUCCGUGCCAGCAGCCGCGGUAAUACGGAGGGUGCGAGCGUUAAUCGGAAUUACUGGGCGUAAAGCGUACGCAGGCGGUUUGUUAAGCGAGAUGUGAAAGCCCCGGGCUCAACCUGGGAACUGCAUUUCGAACUGGCAAACUAGAGUGUGAUAGAGGGUGGUAGAAUUUCAGGUGUAGCGGUGAAAUGCGUAGAGAUCUGAAGGAAUACCGAUGGCGAAGGCAGCCACCUGGGUCAACACUGACGCUCAUGUACGAAAGCGUGGGGAGCAAACAGGAUUAGAUACCCUGGUAGUCCACGCCGUAAACGAUGUCUACUAGAAGCUCGGAGCCUCGGCUCUGUUUUUCAAAGCUAACGCAUUAAGUAGACCGCCUGGGGAGUACGGCCGCAAGGUUAAAACUCAAAUGAAUUGACGGGGGCCCGCACAAGCGGUGGAGCAUGUGGUUUAAUUCGAUGCAACGCGAAGAACCUUACCUACACUUGACAUACAGAGAACUUACCAGAAAAUGGUUUGGUGCCUUCGGGAACUCUGAUACAGGUGCUGCAUGGCUGUCGUCAGCUCGUGUUGUGAGAUGUUGGGGUUAAGUCCCGCAACGAGCGCAACCCCUAUCCUUAGUUGCUAGCAGGUAAUGCUGAAAACUCUAAGGAGACUGCCGGUGAUAAACCGAAGGAAGGG
rnacentral:rRNA from 1 species